rnacentral:rRNA from 1 species
AAUACGAAGGGUGCAAGCGUUAAUCGGAAUUACUGGGCGUAAAGGGUGCGUAGGCGGUUUGUUAAGUCUGUCGUGAAAUCCCCGGGCUCAACCUGGGAAUGGCGAUGGAUACUGGCAAGCUAGAGUGUGUCAGAGGAUGGUGGAAUUUCCGGUGUAGCGGUGAAAUGCGUAGAGAUCGGAAGGAACAUCAGUGGCGAAGGCGGCCAUCUGGGACAACACUGACGCUGAAGCACGAAAGCGUGGGGAGCAAACAGGAUUAGAUACCCUGGUAGUCCACGCCCUAAACGAUGCGAACUGGAUGUUGGUCUCAACUCGGAGAUCAGUGUCGAAGCUAACGCGUUAAGUUCGCCGCCUGGGGAGUACGGUCGCAAGACUGAAACUCAAAGGAAUUGACGGGGGCCCGCACAAGCGGUGGAGUAUGUGGUUUAAUUCGAUGCAACGCGAAGAACCUUACCUGGCCUUGACAUGUCUGGAAUCCUGCAGAGAUGCGGGAGUGCCUUCGGGAAUCAGAACAC